UUCUUGUUUCCACGCAGUGACAGUAAGUUGACUAACUGUUCAAGACCUCUCCCCUUCACUUCACUCUACUGCAGGGUGGGAGAUGCAACAAUGUCCUUGAGAACAACAGGAAGUGUGUUGGUGUUCUUUCUCUGGUCUGUAGCAGUUGUACUGGGUCAGGAUGGAUGGACUGUGACAUACACCACUCAGAGAAUCUGUGCCUUGAAGGGGUCAACAGUGGAUCUGACCUGCUCUUUCAGAUAUCCCAGUGGUCAUGAAGUCACAUCAACCUUCUGGUUCACUAAAAUUGAGACUGAAGACCUAGGUCAGAACCCAGAGUAUGCAGGUCGUCUGGAGUAUCAUGGAGAUAAGAAGAAAGACUGUACCCUGAAAAU